UGUUGAUGUUUCAUGGUUUAAGUUUUAGAGUUGAUGAUUUAGGGUUUAAAGUUGAUGUUUUAAGUUUAGAUUUAGGGUUUAGGGUUUACGUUUAGGGUUUAGAGUUGAUGUUUUAGGGUUUAGAUUUGAAGGUUUAGGGUUUAGGUUUUAAAGUUGAUGUUUCGGGGUUUGAGUUGAUGUUUCGGGGUUUUGGGUUGAUGUUUCAUAGUUUAGGGUUUAGAGUUGAUGAUUUAGGGUUUAGAGUUGAUGAUUUAGGGUUUAAAGUUGAUGCUUUAAGUUUUGAUUAGUUAACCAUAUGUUUUUUUUGUUAAAGUUAAUCAAAAGGUUAUAAAUGUCUUUUACAUUUCAUUAAAGAUGAGGGUAAAAGUGGUUAGUGUAAAUAUGAAAAGUGGUACUUCAAAAAUGAUAUUUUUGGCAAUUUCCCAUAAAACUACAUGAAAUUAACAAAACUAAUCAAAAAUUUAAUAUGUAUAACAAAAAUAUCUUAGUUGAAAAGUUAUGUUAUCUAAUAUAUCCAAAUAAUAACCAAACAGUCGAGAUAUUAUAUAUCAAAAAGUAUAUGUCUUAUUAAAAUAAAAUAAUGUUAUUUAAAAUAAACCAUGCAUAUUUAUUACAAUAUAAAUAAAAAAAUAAUUAAAAAAUCAAAAUUAAAAUAUUAAUAAUUAUUAUAAUAUAAAUAAAUUAUUAUAAUGAUUUAUUUUAUAAAUAUUUAUACACGUGCAUGAGCAUGGGAAAAUCACCUAGUAUAAUAUAUAUUGUGAUCAUAAUGGAGAUUUUCUUUUGUUAGAUUCUUAAAUAUAGUUUUUAAGUUAUCUAAUCCAGUUAAUCAUCUUUGAAAUAAGUUUAUUUUUUGUAAUAUCAUAACAUUUUUAUCUUCAAUGAUACUAACGUAUUCAGCAAAAAAACAAAUAAAAGAAACCAAAUAAUCAGUCGCCUCUACAUUCGAAGAUCGAAGUUUUGAUUUGAGCAAUGGAAUGUAUGCGGAAUCUCAAGCAAUUUAUGGUUACAUUUGUAACAGAUUGUUCUCAAUUAGUGAAGAUGGUUUUGGAACCAUAAGAAUGACCAGCAUUUGCAAGUUAUUUGGAAGAUAUAAACAUCCUGAAAAGGAGUUUCCGGAGCUCAGAAAUCAUCCAUAUACCACGAGAACAAAAUUCAAAGACGGGCAGUCUCGCACGCAGUGCAAGGAAGCAAUCGUCGUUUGUUGUCCAUAUGAAUGCGGAACUACCAGUUUGGUUUGCAUAGUCAGUUUGAGUUUGUAUGUUGCCGACAAAAAAAAAUUUGGGAAUACAAAUAUUUAUGUUUUCAAAAAAAAAUAGUGUAAUUGCACUCUCUAUACAAACUUUAUCUCAUAUUUAGCUAACUAUACAAAAACACUAUUAGACAUUGUUUGAUUUUUUCAAUAUACCAUAAUACCCCUGUUGAUCUAAUAUCUACAAAAUAUGUACCAUAUAUCUCUUACUAAAAUUUAUAUCGCUGGAAAAUAUUAUUUUGUUAGAAAUAGUAAUUGCUCAGAUACAUACGUUCAGAAUUUUUACUCUCUCUCUCUCUCUCUCUCUCUCUCUCUCUCUCUCCCCAUCUCUCCUCUAUCCUUGUAAAACUCUGCCAAAAAAAGCAAUUUGUCUGAUAGUAUCUUAAAUCUGCAUCCACUUUGACCCUUUGUUCAAACUAUUUAGACCUAAUCAUGGUGCCGCUGAAGCUUAAUGAUAAACUUACAGAGGAGAAAAAGAAGGUGGAGGAUGAAGGUAUUAGAGAUAGAAAAUAAGACUUAUCUAUUUGCGAAUUUGUUUUCUGGAUGUACACAAAACUUUGUAUCUCGUUUCUAUUAGCUUUAUAUGCAUCAGAUACAUAACAACUAUGAAUCGAAAUCCAUACAACAUAUUUUGUUCGGCU